GUAAAUAUCACUAAGUCAACAUCACAUCAAGCCCUAUAGCAAGUCCUAUGAUUGCACAACAAACUCACUACAGUUUUUGAUAUACUCUAUUGAUUUAGUAUGAGCUAAAUACCAUCAGCAUCAUUAUGCACCAUGACAGUAUCACAUCAGUCCCCACAGCAAGCCUUGUGGUUACACAACAAAUCUAUUAUGAUUCUUGAAACAAUAUUGGCUUGGU
rnacentral:lncRNA from 1 species